UUUGUCGACUCUGGACCUGAACUUUUGCAGCAGAACACCAUGAAAGCAAAAUACAUCCAUGCCUACUGGUCUCACUUGUAAUCGAAAUUGGCUAACCUCAACUAGGCCCAUCAUGAUGCUCAGUGGAUGGUCUUGUCCUGAUGCUGAUGCUUGAUGCUUGAUGGCAGGGUGGUGGCUGCUGAAGACUGGCAUGAUGGAAGUUUGUUAAAAUAAGACAAUAAUGCAGUUGGCCAC
rnacentral:lncRNA from 1 species